GAUGAACGCUGGCGGCGUGCCUAAUACAUGCAAGUCGAGCGAACAGACGAGGAGCUUGCUCCUCUGACGUUAGCGGCGGACGGGUGAGUAACACGUGGAUAACCUACCUAUAAGACUGGGAUAACUUCGGGAAACCGGAGCUAAUACCGGAUAAUAUAUUGAACCGCAUGGUUCAAUAGUGAAAGACGGUUUUGCUGUCACUUAUAGAUGGAUCCGCGCCGCAUUAGCUAGUUGGUAAGGUAACGGCUUACCAAGGCAACGAUGCGUAGCCGACCUGAGAGGGUGAUCGGCCACACUGGAACUGAGACACGGUCCAGACUCCUACGGGAGGCAGCAGUAGGGAAUCUUCCGCAAUGGGCGAAAGCAUGACGGAGCAAAGCCGCGUGAGUGAUGAAGGUCUUCGGAUCGUAAAACUCUGUUAUUAGGGAAGAACAAAUGUGUAAGUAACUAUGCACGGAUUGACGGUACCUAAUCAGAAAGCCACGGCUAACUACGUG
rnacentral:rRNA from 1 species